CACGUAGGGUGCGAGCGUUGUCCGGAAUUAUUGGGCGUAAAGAGCUCGUAGGCGGUUUGUCGCGUCUGCUGUGAAAUCCCCAGGCUCAACCUGGGAACUGCGUCCGAUACUGGAUGGCUUGAAUUCGGGAGAGGGAUGCAGAAUUCCAGGUGUAGCGGUGAAAUGCGUAGAUAUCUGGAGGAAUACCGGUGGCGAAGGCGGCAUCCUGGACCGACAUUGACGCUGAGGAGCGAAAGCUAGGGGAGCAAACGGG
rnacentral:rRNA from 1 species